rnacentral:rRNA from 1 species
AGCGAACGCUGGCGGCAGGCUUAACACAUGCAAGUCGAGCGGGCCCUUCGGGGUCAGCGGCGGACGGGUGAGUAACGCGUGGGAACGUGCCUUCUGGUUCGGAAUAACUCAGGGAAACUGAGCUAAUACCGGAUACGCCCUUUUGGGGAAAGGUUUACUGCCGGAAGAUCGGCCCGCGUCUGAUUAGCUAGUUGGUGGGGUAACGGCCCACCAAGGCGACGAUCAGUAGCUGGUCUGAGAGGAUGAUCAGCCACACUGGGACUGAGACACGGCCCAGACUCCUACGGGAGGCAGCAGUGGGGAAUAUUGGACAAUGGGCGCAAGCCUGAUCCAGCCAUGCCGCGUGAGUGAUGAAGGCCUUAGGGUUGUAAAGCUCUUUUAUCCGGGACGAUAAUGACGGUACCGGAGGAAUAAGCCCCGGCUAACUUCGUGCCAGCAGCCGCAGUAA